AAUUGCGUGAAGUGUAAUUUUAUUGAAGCUUUUAAUGUUGUAUUUCUUGGAUUUUCUUUUCUUGGUUUUGGCUAAAUAAAAAUUCUAAUUAAUGCGUACUGAGUUUUGAGUAUGGUAAAUCAGCUGAUAUCUUACUUUCAGAAGAAACUAAGCAUUCUGGGAAGUUGCUUCAGCGCUAUUGUAUUAACACCCCACCUAUUUUCAGUUGAGUUAUCACAAAUUUAAUGAGUCUCAACAAGAACAAAUAGUUAUCAAGAGAUAACAUGAUUGUGAAAUGUAGCCCUAAUAAGUGAUGCUGGGACACUAGGUAUCAAUGAUCCUGGAAUGGAACUGGUGAGACAUAUAUUAAUGCUGUGAUUUUGCAUUGUUAGCUUCAUGAAGUGUUGCUUUUAUACGUAUACUCAUAUAAGUAUGUAUAUGUCUGUAAAUGUGAGGCAUCUCAGCCUUAGUACGAGACUUCUGCUCCUUGCGCAGAAUGGAAUGCCCUUGAUUGCACUUGCGCAUUUAAAUAACAAGAAUUCAUUGGGCUGAUAAUAUCAUAGAUUCGGGUCUCAUAUAUGGUAUUUUGGAGUAUGGAUGUAGGCAAAGUUGUGUGUGGAUCAAAAUAUACCUGUUAUUCCCGUCCUCGGGUCAUCUUCUUUGAGUUUAUUAAUUAACGAGUUCACAUUUGGUAGUUCUUUUAUAACUCUGGUAUUCAAUUGCUUGAUUAUAUGUGGCUUUCUACCUAAACAUGCUGGAACGAGAAGAGAGAGGCUGAUAGUUUCUGCAAAUGAAGCAGCCACACGGGUCUUCAUUGUUCCUUAUCACAAGCUCUCUCAAUUUCUUGAAUAGGCUUCUUCAAUUUUUGGCAACUCUAUGUAAAUCUUGUCAACGACUGUGGUACCUUUUGUAACCAUUGUUGUAAAUAUAAGUUUGACAAUGAAACAGAUGGGCAUUUAAAA